AUGGUUAAGUUAGAAAGGGCGCACGGUGAAUGCCUUGGCACUAGGAGCCGAUGAAGGACGGGACUAACACCGAUAUGCUUCGGGGAGCUGUAAGUGAGCUUUGAUCCGGAGAUUUCCGAAUGGGGAAACCCACUGUUCGUAAUGGGACAGUAUCUUUAUCUGAAUACAUAGGAUAUUGAAGGCAGACCCGGGGAACUGAAACAUCUAAGUACCCGGAGGAAGAGAAAGCAAAUGCGAUUUCCUGAGUAGCGGCGAGCGAAACGGAAUUAGCCCAAACCAAGAGGCUUGCCUCUUGGGGUUGUAGGACACUCUAUACGGAGUUACAAAGGAACGAAGUAAAUGAAGCGACCUGGAAAGGUCCGUCGAAGAAGGUAACAACCCUGUAGUUGAAACUUCGUUCCCUCUUGAGUGGAUCCUGAGUACGGCGGAACACGUGAAAUUCCGUCGGAAGCUGGGAGGACCAUCUCCCAAGGCUAAAUACUACCUAGUGACCGAUAGUGAACCAGUACCGUGAGGGAAAGGUGAAAAGCACCCCGGAAGGGGAGUGAAAGAGAUCCUGAAACCGUGUGCCUACAAGUAGUCAGAGCCCGUUAACGGGUGAUGGCGUGCCUUUUGUAGAAUGAACCGGCGAGUUACGAUCCCAUGCAAGGUUAAGCUGAUAAGGCGGAGCCGUAGCGAAAGCGAGUCUGAAUAGGGCGUUUAGUAUGUGGUUGUAGACCCGAAACCAGGUGAUCUACCCAUGUCCAGGGUGAAGUUCAGGUAACACUGAAUGGAGGCCCGAACCCACGCACGUUGAAAAGUGCGGGGAUGAGGUGUGGGUAGCGGAGAAAUUCCAAUCGAACCUGGAGAUAGCUGGUUCUCUCCGAAAUAGCUUUAGGGCUAGCCUCAUGUUGUGAGAGUCUUGGAGGUAGAGCACUGAUUGGACUAGGGGCCCCCAACGGGUUACCGAAUUCAGUCAAACUCCGAAUGCCAAAGACUUAUCCAUGGGAGUCAGACUGCGAGUGAUAAGAUCCGUAGUCAAAAGGGAAACAGCCCAGACCACCAGCUAAGGUCCCCAAGUAUACGUUAAGUGGAAAAGGAUGUGGAGUUGCUUAGACAACCAGGAUGUUGGCUUAGAAGCAGCCACCAUUUAAAGAGUGCGUAAUAGCUCACUGGUCGAGUGACUCUGCGCCGAAAAUGUACCGGGGCUAAACGUAUCACCGAAGCUGUGGAUUGACAUCUUUGAUGUCAGUGGUAGGAGAGCGUUCUAAGUGCAGCGAAGUCAGACCGUAAGGACUGGUGGAGCGCUUAGAAGUGAGAAUGCCGGUAUGAGUAGCGAAAGACAAGUGAGAAUCUUGUCCACCGAAUGCCUAAGGUUUCCUGAGGAAGGCUCGUCCGCUCAGGGUUAGUCGGGACCUAAGCCGAGGCUGAAAAGCGUAGGCGAUGGCCAACAGGUUGAUAUUCCUGUACCACCUCCCCGCCGUUUGAGUAAUGGGGGACGCAGUAGGAUAGGGUAAGCGCGCUGCUGGAUAUGCGCGUUCAAGCAGUUAGGCUGAUGAGUAGGCAAAUCCGCUCAUCAUAAAGGCUGAGCUGUGAUGACGAGGGAAUUAUAGUACCGAAGUUCCUGAUUCCACACUGCCAAGAAAAGCCUCUAGCGAGGCGGGAGGUGCCCGUACCGCAAACCGACACAGGUAGGCGAGGAGAGAAUCCUAAGGUGAUCGAGAGAACUCUCGUUAAGGAACUCGGCAAAAUGACCCCGUAACUUCGGGAGAAGGGGUGCUCUGGUAGGGUGUAUAGCCCGAGAGAGCCGCAGUGAAUAGGCCCAGGCGACUGUUUAGCAAAAACACAGGUCUCUGCGAAGCCGCAAGGCGAAGUAUAGGGGCUGACGCCUGCCCGGUGCUGGAAGGUUAAGAGGAGGGGUUAUCCUUUGGGAGAAGCUCUGAAUCGAAGCCCCAGUAAACGGCGGCCGUAACUAUAACGGUCCUAAGGUAGCGAAAUUCCUUGUCGGGUAAGUUCCGACCCGCACGAAAGGCGUAACGAUCUGGGCACUGUCUCAACGAGAGACUCGGUGAAAUUAUAGUACCUGUGAAGAUGCAGGUUACCCGCGACAGGACGGAAAGACCCCGUGGAGCUUUACUGUAGCCUGAUAUUGAAUUUUGGUACAGCUUGUACAGGAUAGGUAGGAGCCUGAGAAGCCGGAGCGCUAGCUUCGGUGGAGGCGUCGGUGGGAUACUACCCUGGCUGUAUUGAAAUUCUAACCCGCGGCCCUGAUCGGGCCGGGAGACAGUGUCAGGUGGGCAGUUUGACUGGGGCGGUCGCCUCCUAAAAUGUAACGGAGGCGCCCAAAGGUUCCCUCAGAAUGGUUGGAAAUCAUUCGUAGAGUGUAAAGGCACAAGGGAGCUUGACUGCGAGACCUACAAGUCGAGCAGGGACGAAAGUCGGGCUUAGUGAUCCGGUGGUUCCGCAUGGAAGGGCCAUCGCUCAACGGAUAAAAGCUACCCCGGGGAUAACAGGCUUAUCUCCCCCAAGAGUCCACAUCGACGGGGAGGUUUGGCACCUCGAUGUCGGCUCAUCGCAUCCUGGGGCUGUAGUCGGUCCCAAGGGUUGGGCUGUUCGCCCAUUAAAGCGGUACGCGAGCUGGGUUCAGAACGUCGUGAGACAGUUCGGUCCCUAUCCGUCGUGGGCGUAGGAAAUUUGAGAGGAGCUGUCCUUAGUACGAGAGGACCGGGAUGGACACACCGCUGGUGUACCAGUUGUCUUGCCAAAGGCAUCGCUGGGUAGCUAUGUGUGGACGGGAUAAGUGCUGAAAGCAUCUAAGCAUGAAGCCCCCCUCAAGAUGAGAUUUCCCAUAGCGCAAGCUAGUAAGAUCCCUGAAAGAUGAUCAGGUUGAUAGGUCAGAGGUGGAAGCGUGGCGACAUGUGUAGCUGACUGAUACUAAUCGAUCGAGGACUUAACCAAAC
rnacentral:rRNA from 2 species